UACGGGGGGGGCAAGCGUUGUCCGGAAUUAUUGGGCGUAAAGGGCUCGUAGGCGGUCUGUCGCGUCGAAAGUGAAAACCCAGGGCUUAACCCUGGGCCUGCUUCCGAUACGGGCAGACUAGAGGUAUGCAGGGGAGAACGGAAUUCCUGGUGUAGCGGUGAAAUGCGCAGAUAUCAGGAGGAACACCGGUGGCGAAGGCGGUUCUCUGGGCAUUACCUGACGCUGAGGAGCGAAAGUGUGGGGAGCGAACAGG
rnacentral:rRNA from 1 species